CCCCCCACCUCACAGAGUCAGUUCAGGAGAAAGCACUGCGGUGUGCUGUGUACAUUGAGUGAUGUAGCAGGGAUUCAGGUUUGAGCCUAAUUUGUGUUCUCAGCUGGGAAUCAGGCAUGCCUGGAAAGGUCCAGUGACCUGGUGGGUCAGGCAGCCUACUGGCAUCUAUUUUUGAGAAGUUGGCUUUCCUGGAAUCUCAUCUGAGCCCUGUGGAGAGAGCUGGUUUACAGAGGUUGGGGACACUCUUGUCAUAAGGGGCUCUAUGAGGUGCAAGUGCCCAAGCAAUGUUCCUCUAGUACCUAGAUAACAGAGAGGCUCAGAGCGGGGGGGGGCAGGACGCCGUCUCUCUCUGCACCCUAAACAGCCUGCUUAGCUCUGUGAGGACUGCUGGGACCCCGGUUCUGCUGUGGCCCAUAAUACAUAUGGCAGGUAACACUGGCAGCAGUAACAGAGAGGAAGGAGAUGCCCACCUUUGAGUGACUUUGCAGGCAGGAAACAUCAACCCCAAGAGCCUGGAGACAGUCUGUUAUUUUCCCAAGAUGGCGACUACAGUGUCUCCCAUCCUGUCUGUUCAUACGGUGUGACCUUGACAUUUCUCUCACGGAAUGGUGGGGGCCUGUGCCCCCGUCUCUUGAGUCUGGGUUUCCUGCCGAGAGAGGACAAUGGGCAAGUUAAGUGAGAGAGCUGAUUUACAAGGCUUUUCUCCUUUUGCUCUAAUUUACAGGAAAAUCGUCCUUGCGUGGAAAGACAAGGUAAAGCCCCACAACACUGAGGGAAUUGUCAUGACAGGGGAGAAAUGGAUAAAUGGGAUAUAUUUUAUAUUAGUAACACCCAAUAUAUCUGAUGAUAAUAGUUCACUUGUUUCUUGGAUAUUAGUGAAAAUACCUUUUUUUUCCAACGGAAAGAAUAUUUGUCUUUAUUUCACACGAUACUUGCCUCUAAUUCUUUUGUAAGUAUUAAUUUGUAUCUGUUGCAGCGAGGAUUAUGUUCAACUGCAUAAAAUAGAAAACCCAAAUAAAAGAGGUUUAAGACCACAAAGUUCUAUUCUUUCAUGUGAAAGCCGUCCAGAAAUGAGCAGUCCAGGGCUAGUAGGCCAGCACUACAAAGACUCAGGCCCUCUUCUAUCUUUCUGCUUUACCAUUCUUAGCACGUACCUUCCAUCCCCACGCUGGCUGCUGGGGCUCCGGCAUCUUGUCGGGAAUCCUGGCGACUGGAAGAGAGGGAAGGGGAAAGUAAAACCCGAGCAGCAUCCAGUUGAGUCCCUUUAAGAGACGCCUUUGGGAAUUCCACACAUCAGUCUGUCUAGAACUCAAAGACGAGAACACAGUCACAUGACCACCCUUAGCUGCAGCUGGGGAAACAUUAGCUCCACAGCUUAUAAAGGUCCCUCCCUUCUCCACUUCCCUCCGUACUUCCCAUCUACCCCAAAUGAUCUGAGACCCACCUAUAGCUUUCUUCUGUGGUUCUGGUUCCACGAGCAAGCAGAGUGUUUUACUAGAAUUGUAAGCUCCAUGGGGUAAUGACCACAUCAUUUAUACCGCACGCUUCACAGUUCCUGAUGUGAGGCCAGAAUACACUGCCAUACCCCCAAAUUUCAGAAGUUCUAUUUCUCCUUAAAGGAGGAGAAUGGAUUUGGGGUACAUCACCAGCAAUCAGAUACAAUAUCAUUAAAGUGUGACGACUCAUUCGUCAUCUAUAUUUUAAUAUCAUACAAUUGAAUAAGUAUUUUUGGAACGCCCCCUCUGUUCCAGCUCCAGAUCAAGAACAACGAAGAGUGUGGUCAAAGUGUGUCACAAUGGGGCUCCUAGGUGGCUCAGCCAGUUGAGCAUCCGACUCCCGAUUUCGGCGCAGCUCGUGAUCACGCGGGAUUGAGCUUCACGCCAGGCUCUGUGCUGAGUGUGGAACCUGCUCGAGAUUCUCUCUCUCUCCCCCCCCUC